AAAAAUGAUGGAUAAAGACAAAAGAGGAAGACCUCAGGGACAGUGGCAUGAAUGUGGCUGGAUAAAGACAGGGAGAAAGGACAGGAAGAAAUGAGGAGCAGGAAGAAGGUUCUGGGAGAGAAAUAACGAGGCCAAGAGAGCUGUGCCAGGAGCUGGUGGAGCGGGCAGAUGGAACAACCGAGACAGAGAACAGAGCCACAGAGGAGUGGGCACGCAGUGAGGCCUGGCAGCCAAGCCCUGCUCCACCACCCCCUCACAAGUCCCAAGGAAGCCAUGAGCUGCCACAUCACACCAGGAACGAAGCAGGCUACAUUGGAGGGUUGAAGAAACAACGGCCCAGAGACUCACCAAACUCACAGAACAGAAAGUGGGCAGGAUUCUACCUCGGGCAGCCAAGAGCAGAGCCCACACCACAACCAAGGCCGAGGCGGAUGUCCCAGCCCACACAGGGCACAAAAGGAAGGAGGAAGAGGAAGCCACGUCCCAGAGCUACCCCACAGGAGGGCGCCCCAAGUGGAGAGGCGUGGUGGCCUGAGCACCCACCUUCUAGAGAUCUCACUAUAAUCCUGGACGUGUGACACUUUCCUAGGCCCACAGCCCAGGAGCCACUGCCUCAGACUUGCUUUGAAGUUUUAGACCCCCACCCUCGAGUGGAUGGAGGCAGAGGCCCUGAAAGAAGGAAGGACUCCUCGAGGCCCCUCGGCGGACAAGUCACAGAGCAAAGAUGCCCGCUCUGGGCUCCGGAUGUCCAGCAGCCGUCUGCAACUUUGAAGUGAUUGGAGUUCCUGUGGCUGCUGUGGGCAGACGGAGGGACUCCAGAAGCCCCGGCAGACUUGAUCAGUGCAGAGCCUGAGUCUCCUUGCAACCCCAACCCCCCUCCACCUUUGAAUGAGCUCUGAAGAAAAGUGAAAGGGAGUGGGGAGAAACCCAAGCCAUCACCCUGUCAGCAGGGGAGCAUGUGAUGCGUCCUGACUUGUGCUCACUGCUGAGGAAGACACUAGAAGGUUGGCUCCUGCGUCAGACAGGACACUCCGGGCUGCAUCCUCUGCCUGGAGAGUGAGGCCACAAGAGAGCAGAGACGGGGCUCUGCCUGCCCACAGCACUGGAGAGGACUCACCGCCAGCCGUGCCCUGGAGCUUCCCUGCUGCUCAGGCUCGCACAGAUGUGGGAGUCUAGGGUGCUGUGGGGCCCUGGCUUUGUCCACACCACCCCUAUCUGAUGUUGGACUAAGAGGAGAGAGUGGAACACCCCCAGAGGCACUGAGGCAUUCCCAUGGGGUUCAUAAAGAUAACCCAAACCUUUUUCCAGUGGGAAUAAAUGUCCGUGGCCUUUAGCCCUCAAAGUGCUACUUCCUAAGGGGAGGCCCAGUCACACGUCCCAGCAGUUAGGAGGGCUGGAACCGGUAAGUGCCUCUGCAGAAAGAGCAGCAGCCAUCUGACCCAUCGUACUCUGUUCGUCUAUAGAGUGAAGGCCUCAUUACAUAAAGUCCCAGCUGACUUCAUAUAAGCUAUGACUAAGAAAACUUUCCAGAGACAGUUGGUGGUCCUCCGUCCCCCGCAGACUGGUGAGAACUACCCCCACAGGGAGGGAGCAGAGAUUAAGGCUCCUAGCCCCAUGGCCCUGAGUCAUCUCGCACAAACACUCCCCAACACUCUCCCAAAAUGGUUCCUCCCACCCGUUCACCCUCCUACCCGGGCUGGGUGACAGAAAUGAACACCCCGGAGAUCGUGCCUAGUUCUGGGCAGGCUGAGCCCAGAGAACAUGAAAUUCCCCAUAGAAUGAGGAGGCCAGACCCCCCCCACAGAAGCAAAUAAGGUCCAUUCAAAGGAAAGUCGCUACCUGACCCCACCAUAAUCACUGUAUUGUUUCUCAAAAGAGCUCAAAGCUCUGUAAUCAUAAAAUAUUAGAGCUUAAAGCAAGCUUAAAGAUUAUUCUAACCCCAUCUCUCCUUCCCUAUUUCCAGGAAUCUGCCCAUCCAAGCAUUUAUCUAUCUAUUUACUCAUUAAGCAGUUAAUUGGGUCCUACGAUUUGCCAUGUGCAUGCAGGCAAUGGGGACCAACAGACGUGGUCUUUUCUCAAGAGCUCAUCAUCCAGUGCGUGAGGAAGGCAAAUGUCAUGUAGUGCCAUAAGUACUAUGACAUGAAGAAUGCAUGUCCUAGAAGCUCUUAAAAUACUGGGACACUGUGCACAGAACUCCCUUCAAACAGGCAAGCGCAGAGCAAACAGCUAAGCAUUUAAAGCCAGCAUUUGGCAAUUAAAGGGCUGGGCGGGUGGCGGGUAAGGAAUUGUAAUAGUAAGAGCCGGCCACAAGGUGGCGCCUGAGGCUGGCGGAAGGGUUCGUCCAGGCUGGAAACGGACCCCAAACUCCCGCCCCAGCGAGGCAGGGACUCAGGCAGGACCGCCCCCUCCUGGGAGG
rnacentral:lncRNA from 1 species